rnacentral:ncRNA from 1 species
GGAACUUGUUGCUGGCCCACGGCAACGUCGUCGUGUUCCGCUCGCUGCUGGGCAUCUCGUGGAUGUGGUUCUUCGGCGCGGUGUUCCUGUCGCAGUUUCCAUCGUUUGCGAAAGAGGUUCUG